rnacentral:rRNA from 1 species
AUCGAACGCUGGCGGCAUGCCUUACACAUGCAAGUCGAACGGCAGCAUGAUCUAGCUUGCUAGAUUGAUGGCGAGUGGCGAACGGGUGAGUAAUACAUCGGAACGUGCCCUGUAGUGGGGGAUAACUAGUCGAAAGAUUAGCUAAUACCGCAUACGACCUGAGGGUGAAAGUGGGGGACCGCAAGGCCUCAUGCUAUAGGAGCGGCCGAUGUCUGAUUAGCUAGUUGGUGAGGUAAAGGCUCACCAAGGCGACGAUCAGUAGCUGGUCUGAGAGGACGAUCAGCCACACUGGGACUGAGACACGGCCCAGACUCCUACGGGAGGCAGCAGUGGGGAAUUUUGGACAAUGGGCGAAAGCCUGAUCCAGCAAUGCCGCGUGUGUGAAGAAGGCCUUCGGGUUGUAAAGCACUUUUGUCCGGAAAGAAAUGGCUCUGGUUAAUACCUGGGGUCGAUGACGGUACCGGAAGAAUAAGGACCGGCUAACUACGUG